AGUUUAUUGACUUGAAAACCCCUGCCUACUAACCCGUGCUAUGAGAGUAUAUGGAUCUACUUUAACAAGGGGGAGAGAGUGAAGAUGGAAGUAGGAGAGAGAUAAAAGAUAAAGAACAACCAUGGAACAUGUGUCAAAAGAGGGAAGAAUGUUAUCCACCUCUCUUCCCACACAACAGGGGCUUGUAGUUUUUACCAAAUGGUUCCCAGUGCCGAUUCCGACACUGUGAAGAGGCCCUUGGCAGUGACACUGUGUGCUCAUUAUGGAGAGAGAGGAAAUGUUUAGAUCCACUUUGCAGAUUUAGACACAUGGAAAUGCAGCAAAACUGCAGCAUUUCAUGCUUCUGGGAAACUCAGCCUCUUGGUUGUGUGAAGAUCAGCUGUAUCUUUUAUCACAGCAAACCUCGAAAUAUCAAUGGAUUAUUUUUGCCACCAAGUAGCAAUAUCACACUACAGAAAGAAAUUCAGGAAGGAAUUCCACUCCAGUCCCAGAGUCAAGAACCUCUGAAACCUCAGGAAAAUAUAUCACGACCCAUCCACCAUCCUUUAGUUUUAAAAACUAAUUUUGAGGAAGAAGAGGAAGUAGAUGAACAAAAUG
rnacentral:lncRNA from 1 species